rnacentral:rRNA from 1 species
UGACUCAGGAUGAACGCUGGCGGCGUGCCUAAUACAUGCAAGUCGAACGGAGGUUGUAGCAAUACAACGUUAGUGGCGAACGGGGUGAGUAACGCGUUGGUGACGUGCCCCGAAGUGUGGGAUAACAGUCCGAAAGGAUUGCUAAUACCGCAUGUUUUUAUCUGGAUUAGAUGCCGGAUAACCAAAGACUUCGGUCGCUUCGGGAGGGGCCUGCGUCCCAUCAGCUAGUUGGCAGGGUAAAAGCCUACCAAGGCGAUGACGGGUAGGGGACCUGAGAGGGUGGCCCCCCACAAUGGAACUGAAACACGGUCCAUACACCUACGGGUGGCAGCAGUAGGGAAUAUUGGUUAAUGUGCGAAAGCGCGAACCAGCAACGCCGCGUGUGCGAUGAAGGCCUUCGGGUUGUAAAGCACUUUUUGAGGGGAUGAGGAAGGACAGUACCCUCAGAAUAAGUCUCGGCUAACUACGUGCCAGCAGCCGCGGUAACACGUAGGAGACGAGCGUUAUCCGGAUUUACUGGGCGUAAAGCGCGUGCAGGCGGUUCAGCAAGUUGGAUGUGAAAGCUCCCGGCUUAACUGGGAGAGGUCGUUCAAAACUACUGGACUUGAGAGUGGUAGAGGGAGGUGGAAUUCCGGGUGUAGUGGUGAAAUGCGUAGAUAUCCGGAGGAACACCAGUGGCGAAAGCGGCCUCCUGGACCGUUUCUGACGCUCAGACGCGAAAGCUAGGGUAGCGAACGGGAUUAGAGACCCCGGUAGUCCUAGCUGUAAACGAUGUAGACUUGGCGUUGGUGGGGUUAAAUCCAUCAGUGCCGAAGCAAACGCGAUAAGUUUACCGCCUGGGGACUACGGCCGCAAGGUUAAAACUCAAAGGAAUUGACGG